rnacentral:rRNA from 1 species
UACGUAGGGUGCGAGCGUUGUCCGGAAUUAUUGGGCGUAAAGAGCUCGUAGGCGGUUUGUUGCGUCGGCUGUGAAAACUUCACGCUUAACGUGGAGCCUGCAGUCGAUACGGGCAGACUUGAGUUCGGCAGGGGAGACUGGAAUUCCUGGUGUAGCGGUGAAAUGCGCAGAUAUCAGGAGGAACACCGGUGGCGAAGGCGGGUCUCUGGGCCGAUACUGACGCUGAGGAGCGAAAGCGUGGGGAGCGAACAGGAUUAGAAACCCCAGUAGUCC